UGACCGACGCAGGGGUCGAACCUGCAAUCUCCUGAUUCGUAGUCAGACGCCUUGCCAUUGGGCCAGCCGGCC
rnacentral:tRNA from 1 species